AAGCUUUUAAUUCCUUUCUAGAUUUUCCUUUCCUAAAAGGAAAUCGUUUCUUUUUCCCUCUAUCAAACUAUGGGCAGAAUCACCUACGCCCAAUCUGUCUCAGUUUUUUCUAUCUUUCUUUUUCUUUCCCUUAUCUACUAAAUGGGCUAAGUCCAUUUAUUUUUUUUCUUUUUCUCUCUUUCCACUUGGGCUGAAUGAACUGGCCCAACCCUCCUGUAGCUAGCGAACGCUUCCUUUCCUUCCUCUUUUCUCUGUACGUUCUCAACUCACAUACACAUACGAAGAGAAACAGCCACCACCUACAAUUACAUAAAGGAAACUGCUCCACCAUCCUUUAAUUCCCUCUCCACUUACCUAUCUUCUAGCGCCAUGCCCCAAGCGCUUCCUCUCCACGUUCACGCACAGAAGACUAAACUUAUAGCCACCUACAGCCAUGAAGGAAGCCUUCUCUAAUUCCCUUUUAAUCUCAAUCGUUUGCAAAUCCGCCAGUACAUAUACGUGCGCCCCAACCUCCUCUUCCAACCCCUAGCAACCCCUGCUUUCUCCCUUCCUCGUUCUCCCAUGAACUCUCUCCAAAGUACUGCUAAUCCAUGGCCGCCCUUGCUUGAUUAUGAUGAAGAAGGCCAUCUCCGUUGGAACCCUUGCAACCCAAGGUCCACAUCCACACAACGAAUCCAUUUAGAGAAGAACAAACGCAUUUCGUAGACCACACGCGAAGAAUUCAGCAUGUUCGUCUACACUGUUCAUCGAGUUCGUCGGAUUGAUUCGUCGCGCUCGGUGAGUUUCUAUCCAAUUCCUUUGUGCACCUUCAAAAUAGCACUCAAGUUAUCUCCUAGACAUCAUGGUUCCUCCCGUUUUUGUCGUUGGGCACGCGGAUGCCGCCGUACGCAUGAACCGAAUAUUUUUCAGUGGCAUAUUCAUGUUUCUGUUGUUUUUGUUCACCGUUUGAUCUAGGGCACAAUAGGUCAAACAUUUUAUAUGGUUGUAGCAACCCCGUGGAGUUAGAUUACUUGUUUGGUCAUCUGGAUGUGAUGUAGAUUUUUAUUGUUUGUUGAUCGGUGGUAUUUUUUUAUUGUUAAAUAUAUAUUUUUAUCUUAUGCUCAUGACAUGCCUAGGAGUCACUCCUAGUUAUUUUAUAUUCUUAGGAGCAACGUAUGAUUUACUAGAUUUAGUUUACGACUAUUUAAAUUGAUAAAAUAGUUGUACGUUGUUCCGGCUCGGUAAUUUGUGGUUGCAUGCAUUUCUCUUUUAUGCAAGCGUACUAAUAUUUGUGAUUUAUUUGCCACGUGUAGUAUUUUGUUUGUUUAGUAUAGAUUUAUUUUUAGUUACUAAAUAACAUAUAAUUUUGUAGUCUUGUGUUAUGCGUGCGUACAAUAUUUGGUGAACACUCGGCAAGCUUAUAAUUUCAUAGAAUUAUUCUAAGCUUUGCUUUCUUUAUCGAGUCAUGGAAUAUUUCAUGUUUUAAUUAGUUCCUUUUGUUUAGCAUGAAUAUAUCUUAGAUAUGUUUUAUAUAUUUGUUCUCAACCAUGUUACGUGCGUAUUUUAUUUACUUGAAAUCAUGCCAUAUCUAUGAUAGUUCUUCAGGUAAUUAUUGUGUGUGUUUCUAUGUAGUUUCUUUAUGCUAGACGUCGAAUGAAAUACUUUACUAUGGGGAACUAGUAUAUUGUAGUUUGUUGUAUAGCUCGUGAUUGCCUAGUGGUUCCUCUAAUUUUGAAGAUGUUUGUUAUCCAAGAUUGUAUGGCUAGAUGAUAUUUGUCAUGGCUUGGUCGCUUAGACUUGUAUUGCUAUGUAUGGUUUAUGCUUCUAGCAUAUAACCUUGUUUAAUAUUUAUUAAUUACCCUAGGUGUUUUGUUUAUCUAGGAUGAUAGGUAUGCAUGCUUAGUUGAUUGCUGGGUUGUGUUAGUACUUACUCGAAGUAGAAUGCAUGUUUAAGUGGUAUGCCUACCAUGUGUUAUAUGAUUGCUACUUUAUAUUGUAUGACCAAUCAUAUGGUUAAUAUUUGCUUGGUAGAAGUACAUGCUAGUAGUUUAUGGUCUCAUAUAUUUUAAUUAAGUAGGAUUCUUGCUUCAAUAUCGUGCCAUGAUAUUGUGAUUGUAUAACUAGAUGGCAUAGAGAGAGAGAGAGUGUGUGUGUGUGUAUGUGUAUGUAUUCAUGUAUUAGGUCAUGCCAACCACUAUGCAUUUGCAAGUGCAGGUUGUACAACAUAGGAAUGCAUGCCAUCUUGUUACUCAUUCUAGUAUAGUAUAUUUCUUGAUAUAUUUGAUGGCAUGAUCUAGUUGUUUAAAUUGCCUACAUGCUUAGUAUGAUGUGUCCAUGUGUUUUGUAUGUUAUAAACAACAAUUGUUGUGUGCUACUAUCAUGCUUCCAUGUUCAUGCAUGUCAACUAGUCUCAUAGAGUUGUGUCCUAUUUCCAUGCUUUCUAUUUAUGUUAAUCAAUAUAAACUAAGUUAGGUGUUGCAUUGUAUUAUAUUAGUACCGUAGUGUAGUAUCUCGUGUGAUGACCAUCCAUGUUUACACGUCAUAUUAGUUUAUCUUGUUAUUGCAUUGUUGUGUGCCUAGCGUUUGAUAUAUUCUGUUUACCUUUCUAUUGCAUUAUGAUAUGCCUAGACAUAUUUCAUGCAAGUAAUCUUUCAUGCCUUAUGAUGUUGUGUGUGUUACAGUUGCUUAGUUUGGUUCUUUCUUAUAGAUGUUUAACUUCAUUACAUAUUAGUCUUAUGAGUGUUUUAAUACUUGUUGCUAUGACUCAUAUACUUAGGAUGAGUCAUAUGUCAUGUGAGUAGAGUUGUGCUUUGAUCACACACUCAGAGUGUGCAUCAUGCUUUGUUAUUGUAAGCAUGUGGUGAUAAUAUUAUUGCUAGUGGUUAUUGGUAUUAAUUGUUCUUUAUUAUUAAGACCGUGUAAUCGUUUAGUAUCUUCUCAUGAGCACUUGUAUGUUGAAUGCUUGUGUUAUUAGUAAAUACAUCUUUAUGAUCCUAUACUUACAUGCCGUGGGUGAGAUGUGUAUUAUGGUUAAGCUGUUUAAUUAGUUUGUACCAAAGUUAUUGGUUUAUCUUUUGUUAUAUAAAUGCUUACUAUUAGCUGUUAUGAUCGGGGAUAGUCUUUGCUUGUUGUUAACCAUUAUACAUAUUUGGAUUCCUCCAAAUAUUUAAUCUUGGUUGUUGUUAAUCUUUAUCAUGUCAUGUCCAGGAUAGUUGUUCAUCCAUUGUUCCACAUGUUUUUUAUAGUUUCUUGUCAAUUGUUUGACAAAUGAAUUAGUUUGAUAUAACAGAGUUGAUUCUAUUUCCUUUUAAUAAUAUUUUAGGACUAGACCUAGAUCAAUUCAAUUCAUAUUGUUGUAUGAAAUGAUGUUUCAUUGCUUGACUAGAAUGGUUUGUAAUGUUGGUUUCAUUGUCUUAUAGAAUACUUGCCUUUGAUUAAUUACAUAGUUGUUGUAUAUGUUUGGUUCCAAUUGACCAUUAUAAAAUAUUUAGAUUCUAUCUAAAUGUUUAUUGUGGUUAACUUUCACCUUCAUCAUGCCAUGAUGUCAUUAUGUAGUUAAAUGCAUAUGUUGGUUCCAUUCCAUCUAUGUUGUUGCCAUUGUGUUGGUGUUAUAGUAGUUCCUUAAGUUGUGAUGUGUGGUGAGCACUAUUAGUUAAUAUUAGAACGUUGGUCUUGAUCGCCAAGCCUUCCAUAGUUGUGUCAACCUAAACCUUGUCACUUCGUUGAAUCCUCUCUACUUACCUCCCUAUCAUGCUAUCUCAUUUCAGAAUCUCCAUCUGAUCGAUAUCUCGCUAUCCAUCCACUCUUGAUUAUUUUGGAUGUUAUUUGGAUUUGCUAUUGCUUUGGUAUUUAUUCUUUGUCUUUUACUAGCGUAACGAUGAUUAGGGAGUGAAUAUGUUGGACAUGGACAGAACCAGGUUACCGAAGAAGGACUCAACAACGAAGGCAUGCCUCCUUCUUUGAUCAUACUUAUCCUAUGUUUACAAAAUUCCAGUGUGUUUUAUGUUUCUAUGUGCAUGCUAUUUUAAUUCUCGUAGCUAGCGUGUCGAUUGACACAUUACCUUGAUCCGCUUGUCGCCUAUUCACUUGACACCUGAGUAGAAUUAUAGUAUUCUUGUAGAGUAGAAAUGCUUAGCCAUGCUUAUUACCCUAUAGGUGCUUUAUUGAAUGACCUCUGAGUCAUUGAUAGUUGAAACUUACCGCUGAGCUAGGCCAGAUGGCCUUAUUGAUAUCCUCUACUCUCUUCUACUCUGGGUGAAACUUACCAUCUGAAUACUGGCGCGGGUGACAGCUGAAUCAAGGAUUGAAGGAGCGAUUGGCUGCCCUUCACGAGUUGAAGGGGGCAAUCAGUCGUCCGUGCCGCUUAAGGCCUAAUAAGUCUUGGAUUUGAAGAUUGUGAUAAUAGUACAACCACAUGCUAUAUGGGCACUGGCUUGGUCAAGUAAGCUAGUCAGCCUUAGGUGUCGAUGCCGCCGUACCGCAGAUGGGAUAGCUGCCUUGCGAGGAGUAUCCUCGGCACAGAUGGGGGGACCGGUUUGAGGACGUACUCUCAGUUCCGUGUGCCAGACCCGAUGGGCAUGUCACAUCUUUGGGGAAUCUAGUCCAAAGACCUCGUCACAAUCUCCCUGCCGGUAUACCAGAUGGUGUACUACGCUAGCGACGGCUAGUGGCAACAAGUCGGGAUUGUGUCGUGUGGGUAAAGUGUACAACCUCUACAGAGUGUAAAACUAUUCGAAUAGCCAUGUCCACGGUCAUGGACGACACAUGAAUCUUUCUUGACAUAAAGGACCUGUCUUGCUUAUUCCCUCUUUGCCACUAUUCUUGGAACCUAUGAAGAGUGUGAGUUGAUCAAGGAUCCUCACUUUGAUGAAAGUUAUUCUGGAGAUAAAACAUGUGUUCAUCUAAAACUGCUUUUAUCCAACGGCUAUUUUUUUCAAACAAAAUUAGCUUUUAUGCAAAUGAGCCAUACAACCUUCCUUUGAAGCCACAUGUAGCUAUCCUCCUUCCCCGUGGGAGGCAUGUUGAGUAUGUAAUGUACUCAUGGCAAUAAUUUUGUUGACAACAGAGUCCCAUGAAGACGAAGGUGAUGACUAUGACUACUUUGGCGAUCCAUAGAAGUGAGGACACGUGGACUACAUCGACUGCCUGUGGCUGAGAUGGAGUUGCUACGCAUUUGUACUUUCGCUGUUUUCUGAUUGUAAUAAAUGUCAUGAGACAUUUCACUAGGUAUGUCUUGUGACAAAUAUACUACUUAUAAUGCCUUUACAUAUUCUGCAAUGAUACCAUUUCACUGUGUUGUCAACAAUGAUCCUGGGGUUGACAUUUAAACACAGGGGGGUCUGUAAGAUAAUUUCAGGUUCUCACAGAAGUGGUAUUAGAGCCGAUGUCGACCUAGUCACGUGGCCUUAUUUAGAAAUGAAAAUCUUAGGAACUAUUUAUUUAAGAAAAUUAUUUUCAAGGAAAAUAAUCUUGUGGUCUUCUUUGCUAUUUCUCUUCGUAUCUUAUCUUAUUCAAAUUAAUAUUACAGUCUACUUCUCUUCCACCUUCUUUAUAGUAUGAAACCCAUUUCCAGCCCUUGGUGUUUCUAAGUCAAAAGCUUCAGAAGAUGUGCCACGAAUUUCAACAUAACUACAACCCCUGAAGCUCUGAGUAGCAACAUUUUCCAAGAGAAGACACUUCGUGACCUCAAGAAGGCAACAACCGUCAAUCAUGCUCCAAUCGUCAAUGUCGAAGAUUCGCCCCAAGAUUUAUUGUGACCAGCCAUAUAUGAUUAGGUUGGUUAGCACCCUUGUAGUAGUAGAACUCGUAGCUUGUAGACGCAAAACCUUACUUGUAUGAGUAUUGUCUGCAUAUUUUUUCGGUGUUUUCCUAUGCAGUCAUACUAAAACCCUAUUUGCCAAAACGAGUUGCUAUUGAGUUUUAUUUGGAUAGUUUCAUGAUUAUCUAGGUGUUAUCUUUUGUUUAUCUUCUAGGGUAUCUCCGCGUUGUGUAGGAUUCCUUUACUCCUCUUAUGCUCUUUCCCUCUUCUCUAUAAAUCCUGGAGGACACUUUGAGAGGAAAGAAGUUGCAACAUCAUGCUUGAGGUCUAUUAUCAAAGUGAACCUUAUGGAAAACCUCUUUUAAGGGGGGUAGUAGACAAUGAUUCAUGUUGAGAUCGAAGAAUUGAAGACCUUCAUUCAUAAGGAAGACGAAGAUUUGAAUACCUUCAGUACACCUACUAUAAGUUCAACCUGAAGACUGGUCAAAGAGUCUAGCUGCACCAAAGCUUCACCGAAAUAAGAAAGGCAAGAUUGAAGAAUGUUAAAUCGCUUAGAGAAGCUAUCAAAUUACCAUUGCCAAAACCGAAGGACUAUUUCCAAGCCUUGGGAAAACAAGGGGUAAUAUCGACAAGAGAAGUAUGUCCAAUCAACACCCCAAAGUUGCGUGUCACCAAGAUCAGAAUCGACCGCCACCCACAACUGUGUUUGAGGAGGACCAUGUCGAAGAGAAAACUACCCAAACCCAUUCUCUAUAGUCAGACUGAAUCUCGAGGACGAGAUUUCUUUUAAGGGGGGUAGAUCUGUAACAUCCCGAUUCUCGAAAUGUUUAAGAAAAAGUUUUCCAAAAAUCAGGACGAGAAAUUUCGUUUGUUUUAUUUGGUAACAAAGCUUAAAUUGGACUUUUAUAAUUUAGAGGAUUUAAUUUGAUCUAAUGCGAACUUAAAUUAAAUUUGAGUUUUGUUCUUUUCUUUUAACUAGUUUUUAAUUUGUCCUCAACAUAUUUAAAUAUGUGAGUUUGCAUUUUCCUGGAUUUCUCAGUUCGUUUGAUUUGUGUUCAAGCUUUUAAUUCCUUUCUAGAUUUUCCUUUCCUAAAAGGAAAUCGUUUCUUUUUCCCUCUAUCAAACUAUGGGCAGAAUCACCUACGCCCAAUCUGUCUCAUUUUUUCUAUCUUUCUUUUUCUUUCCCUGAUCUACUGAAUGGGCUAAGUCCAUUUAUUUUUCCUUUUUCUCUCUUUCCACUUGGGCUGAAUGAACUCGCCCAACCCUCCUGUAGCUAGCGAAUGCUUCCUUUCCUUCCUCUUUUCUCUGUACGUUCUCAACUCACAUACACAUACGAAGAGAAACAACCACCACCUACAAUUACAGAAAGGAAACUGCUCCACCAUCCUUUAAUUCCCUCUCCACUUACCUAUCUUCUAGCACCAGGCCCCA
rnacentral:lncRNA from 1 species